rnacentral:rRNA from 1 species
GAUGAACGCUAGCGGCAGGCUUAACACAUGCAAGUCGAGGGGUAUAGUUCUUCGGAAUUAGAGACCGGCGCACGGGUGCGUAACGCGUAUGCAAUCUACCUUUCACAGAGGGAUAGCCCAGAGAAAUUUGGAUUAAUACCUUAUAGUAAUACGACUUGGCAUCAAGAUGUAUUUAAAGAUUUAUUGGUGAAAGAUGAGCAUGCGUCCCAUUAGCUUGUUGGUAAGGUAACGGCUUACCAAGGCAACGAUGGGUAGGGGUCCUGAGAGGGAGAUCCCCCACACUGGUACUGAGACACGGACCAGACUCCUACGGGAGGCAGCAGUGAGGAAUAUUGGACAAUGGGCGCAAGCCUGAUCCAGCCAUGCCGCGUGCAGGAUGACGGUCCUAUGGAUUGUAAACUGCUUUUAUACAGGAAGAAACACACCCUCGUGAGGGUACUUGACGGUACUGUAUGAAUAAGGACCGGNUAACUCCGUGCCAGCAGCCG